UCAAAAUGGCAGAUUCUAUCCUCCCUUGGGAGAGGCAAUUACGGAUUGCCAUCAAGCCUUCGAGAUGAGAUUAGAGGCCGCACAGCAUUUUCAUCUCUAUCCCAUCUCCACUCUCCCUCUGACGCCGCCGGGCUCUCAUCACAGACGCCGCCUCCCUCUCCCUCUGACGCCGCCUCAGCCUCUCAUCACGAAAACCCCAAGCACAGAGAAAUCGAGCCAAACACCAUCACAUCAUGACCUGAACCCACAUCCUCCCCCAAUUUUAGAUCGGGAAGCCAGCUUUUCUUCAUCCUCUCUUUACUACAGAACGCAUCCUGGUUUCCCAGCACAGGAAGCUAGCUAGCAGGUAGCAGAAAAAGAGAUCAGAUCAGAAAAGUGGUGCAGGUCUCAUAUUAUAGCUAGUAAAGGCUUGCAAUAACUUGAGGUGCUCAAAUGGUGAUGAAGAAGAAGACAAGGAAGUUGGUUGGAAAUACCUUCAUGGUGAUGUUUUCA